CCUACGGGAUGCUGCAGUGAGGAAUAUUGGUCAAUGGACGCGAGUCUGAACCAGCCAAGUAGCGUGAAGGAUGACUGCCCUACGGGUUGUAAACUUCUUUUAUAUAGGAAUAAAAUGUUCCACGUGUGCCUUUUUGUAUGUACUUUAUGAAUAAGGAUCGGCUAACUCCGUGCCAGCAGCCGCGGUAAUACGGAGGAUCCGAGCGUUAUCCGGAUUUAUUGGGUUUAAAGGGAGCGUAGGUGGAUUGUUAAGUCAGUUGUGAAAGUUUGCGGCUCAACCGUAAAAUUGCAGUUGAUACUGGCAGUCUUGAGUACAGUAGAGGUGGGCGGAAUUCGUGGUGUAGCGGUGAAAUGCUUAGAUAUCACGAAGAACUCCGAUUGCGAAGGCAGCUCACUGGACUGCCACUGACACUGAGGCUCGAAAGUGUGGGUAUCAAACAGGAUUAGAUACCCUUGUAGUC
rnacentral:rRNA from 1 species